GAUGAACGCUCGCGAUAGGCUUAACACAUGCAAGUCGAGGGGCAGCAUGGUCUUAGCUUGCUCAGGCUGAUGGCGACCGGCGCACGGGUGCGUAACGCGUAUGCAACUUGCCUCACAGAGGGGGAUAACCCGUCGAAAGACGGACUAAUACCGCGUACACUCUAUGUUGGGCAUCCAAUGUAGAGGAAAUGAAAUUCGCUGUGAGAUAGGCAUGCGUCCCAUUAGCUAGUUGGUGAGGUAACGGCUCACCAAGGCGACGAUGGGUAGGGGAACUGAGAGGUUGAACCCCCACACUGGUACUGAGACACGGACCAGACUCCUACGGGAGGCAGCAGUGAGGAAUAUUGGUCAAUGGGCGAGAGCCUGAACCAGCCAAGUCGCGUGAAGGAUGACUGUCUUAUGGAUUGUAAACUUCUUUUAUACGGGAAUAACAAGAGUCACGUGUGGCUCCCUGCAUGUACCGUAUGAAUAAGCAUCGGCUAACUCCGUG
rnacentral:rRNA from 1 species